rnacentral:rRNA from 1 species
CGCAUCGUUUACGGCGUAGACUACCGGGGUAUCUAAUCCCGUUUGCUCCCUACGCUCUCGCGUCUCAGCGUCAGGACAGGCCCAGUCACCCGCUUUCGCCACAGGCGUUCCCUUAGAUAUCUACGCAUUUCACCGCUCCACCUAAGGUUCCAGUGACCCCUACCUGCCUCGAGAACGGCAGUAUACCAAGCAGUUCCCGGAUUGAGUCCGGGGAUUUCACAAGGUACUUGCCAUCCCGCCUACACGCGCUUUAAGCCCAAUAAUUCCGAACAACGCUCGGGACCUCCGUCUUACCGCGGCUGCUGGCACGGAGUUAGCCGUCCCUUUCGUUUGCUGAUCAACCCCUCCGGGUAUUAACCGGAGGUAUUUUCUGACAAACUAAUGAAGUUUACAUCCCGAAGGACUUCAUCCUUCACGCGGCGUCGCUCCGUCAGGCUUGCGCCCAUUGCGGAAUAUUCGUUGCUGCUGCCUCCCGAAG